AGGGUAGCCUAGUGGACAUGGCAUCUGCCCUGUAAGUGGAAGAACACUGGGUUCGAUUCCUUUUAUCAUUA
rnacentral:tRNA from 1 species